UGCGGUUUAAUAAAUUUUUGUAGCAUCAUGCAAGUCUUGCUGUAUACCACAACACCAGCUGUUUUCAAUUAACUGCAUGAGAAGCCCAGUCAAAGUCAGUGCUUUCAUAGUGGUGUUCACAACAUUACGGGCAUUCUUGAAUGAUGGCUAUGAACCGUAGACGGCAAGGAAAGUUGGAGAUUACACGACCACAGACAGUGGCUUGUGGAGAUGCAGCUGGUUUAAACAGCAUAUAUCCAGUUGGGAGAACAGAUGAAGAUUUACAUUCAAGAAAGAUAUGGACAUCCGCAUUGUCACGUGAAGAACAUGUUGCAACUGCUGGAAGCCUUCAAAGAAUAGCUGGUCUUUCACAGGGGAGGCAGAGGCGCUUUCUGAUGAUGGCACCAGAAAUUCUGCAACUGACCGGACUGAUGACAAACUAUGCUUGCAGUCGACCCCAUGACUGGAGGAUAUAUAUGAGACAACGAGAUGCUCAAUUCAUUCUGAGUGUGAAUAAAUGCUUCUGGAAUGCAGCGGUCUGUAUCAUCACCAGCAGCUAAUAUUCAGCUUUCACACCUCAGCUCACAGUUAAAAGGAUUAGGCAGCUCAGCAAAAGCCCAUCUCACUCCCUCCUGUAAAUGGCAUCAUCUAAUAUAUUACACCAUCUGAGUCCUGGCAUGUGCAGCAUGUGCGUGUGUCUGUGUGUGUUUUUUUUUUUUUCCUGGUAAAUCACUCUCUCCAAAUGAAAAUAGCUUUGGCCUUAAAUUUUGUUGUUAUGUAUUACAUCAUAUGGCUAAAAAAUGCAAAUACUCAAACGAAGAAACCAAUGUAUGUGUACAGUAUGUGUAUAUGAUUAAAUAUGAUGUUCAAUGAUUUUUAAGUUUGUUUUACCAGAAAAUACUAUUUCAAUCAUUCUUACAUUUAAUUCAAUGUGUUUAAUUCAUAUGUACUUAUAUUCAACAUUCCACAAAUUUUAUGUGUUGCACAGUGCUAUAUGUAAAUUACUCACACAGAUGAUAUGCAAAUUAACAAACUCUGCAUGCUUCAGGUUUGCUUCAACAGACUCUUCUUUUUGUUUUUGCUGUAGGAGACUUCAUAAUUUAGUCACAAGGCACAAUAGCUUUUUUUUUUUAAUAUUUGUUUGUGUUUGUUGUGAGCCAGGUUUUGUCUACAAUGUUGGUUCCUGCCAGUGUUGCACUGCCUGAUAAACAUACUAAAUAAUGUAUUAAUAAAAGUGUAAAAAUACAGAAAGUUUGUUUGAGAGUUCAAUUUAGGGUCGGAAGAUAUAAAAGAUCAUUAGUUCAUUAUAAAAAUAACAAUUUAAUUAAAUAAUCAAGAUUUAUUGUUGUGCAAUGGAACAUGUAUUUUGUGUUUUGGGGGGAUUUUAUUUGUAUACUGUAUUUAAGUUGGUUUGAUGAAUAAAAAAGAUAAAGAACUGAAUCCAGGUUAGCACUGCUCAUUAGUCCCAAGGAACAUAUAUAGUUCCUUGCAGCAGUCUGAUGGGAACAGAUUGUAAAUGAGCCCUCUAAAAUGCAUAAUGAAUUCAGGUCUAAAUUCUUAUCUCUGUGAUUGAUUGGGACUCGUCUGACCCUUCUAAAUUGAGUACAACAGAACUUUACAAGAAUUUCUAUUACUGCCCUUGGCAUUAUUUAAUAAACGGGAAAUAUCUGAAGUCUACAGACUUUGCAGAUCAUUAAGGAAAUACUCAGCCAACACAAAAUGGAAGAGAUUUUCACCUGCAAGUCACAAAACUAUUUUUCACACAGAACACACCCAAUUACCUACAGAAGUUUGAAUAACAAUGUUUCAAAUAAAUAAGAGAGUUACGGGUAUAUUUCCCAGCAUUUUAAGGCUGUUAAUGGUGGCAAAUGGAGAACAGUCAGUCUUUUUUUCCCACAUCAAACCGUGUUCAAAGUGAUUGAUUUGAAAGGCACAAUAUGUCCUGCCAAAUUCACACAGUCCCUAGUGUUUUCUUACAGAAAGGCUGCAGCUGAUGGCUGCAUCUGUUGCUCUUGGUUGUUGUUUUUAUUUAUUUUAUUUUUUUAUUUUUUCUCUCAAACACAUGAGUCAUUCAAUCUGUCUCAUCUCAGGGGUGUUUCAUUUUUGUACCUCUGUCUGGAAUACAGACGCUUUGGAUUGUUUGAAGCUUUCCUGAUUGAUCCUAAAGUUAUGUUUAAAAGGGAAAAUCUGUGGGCUAAUAAAGCUGAUUAUGAAUUAUCA
ensembl:lncRNA